GAGGGUAUAGCUCAAGUGGUAGAGCUCAUGGUUAGCAUGCAUGAGGUCCUGGGUUCAAUCCCCAGUACCUCCU
rnacentral:tRNA from 1 species